UUGUUGACUGUUGAUUGUUGAUUAUGUUGUUGCCAGUGAAUGUUGUUGUUACUUGUAAAUAAUUGAUUGUGCUUAUUGUUGUCUGUUGUUAUUUAGAUGCAUGUUACUUUAUUAAUUUUAUUAUCAUCUGUUGAUUCUUGUUGAUUUUGUUGUUUUGCAUGUUGAUAUUUGUUUUUACGAUUGUCGAUUUUAGCAUAUUACGGUAAUUUUAAAUUUAAUUUAAUACUGUUGGUUUUGUUGUUUAUUUUUGUUGAUUUUUCGAUUUUAUAUUUUCGUUGGUUGGUUUUAUCGUUGUUAUGAUAUUGGUAAAGUUGUUUUUAUUUUUGAUAAUAUGCAUGCUUGUUGAUUCUUGUUUUUUAUUUUUCUUUAGGAUUCUAGUCAAUUUUAUGCUGAAUACUGUUGUUUUAUAUGAUGGACGUUUCGUUUUUAACCCAUUGAUUUUAUCGUUUCAAUACUGAUACACGAAUAUUUCAUUUGGUUCGACGGGAUUUUGAUGUUGUUGCUGUUGAUGGUACACAUGAUUGGCCAUGAUGGAUUUAUUCAGAUGGAUGGACAGCAGAGAUAUGAUAUAUAUUAAUUUUAUGAUGAUCAUUGUAUUUUAUUUGUAUGCUGACUUGAUUUGUACCAUAUUUAAGCCAUGAAGUCUGUUGCGUUCGUAUGGCGGGAAACAUACCAUUGGAUGAGCCAUAGACGUUUCAAAUUACUGGAACAGACUUCAAUGGUGGAAUGCAUGUGAAGUAUAAUACUUCACAUGCCACUUUUUUUUUGACUUUUUUGUUGCGACGUGCCACUACUACGGAUCCGGUUGUUUCCACUGAUUCUCUUCAUGAUUUCCUUAUACUAUGGAUCGUGGAUCGAAAAAAGAAAACUGUAACAGGGAUGCAGGCCGCUGUUGAUGCUGUGUUUGGAUUACCGGUACAUUAUUUGGUUGAUCCGCAUCGCUAUACUGGAACAGACGACAGUUGCGUUACUGUU